rnacentral:rRNA from 1 species
GAUGAACGCUAGCGGCGUGCCUAACACAUGCAAGUCGAACGUGAGAGGGUACUUGUAUCCUUGAAAGUGGCGGACGGGUGAGUAAGACGUAGGUGACCUGCCUUGAAGUGGGGGAUAACCAUUGGAAACGAUGGCUAAUACCGCAUAAGCUGGUGACGAUGGGAAUCGUUAUCAGGAAAGCUUUAGUGCUUUGAGAGGGGCCUACGGCCGAUUAGCUAGUUGGUGAGGUAAAGGCUCACCAAGGCGAUGAUCGGUAGCUGGUCUGAGAGGACGAUCAGCCACACGGGAACUGAGACACGGUCCCGACUCCUACGGGGGGCAGCAGUGAGGAAUAUUCGGCAAUGGGGGCAGCCCUGACCGAGCAACGCCGCGUGGAGGAUGACGGUUUUCGGAUUGUAAACUCCUUUUCUCAGGGAAGAGCGAGGACGGUACCUGGGGAAUAAGUCACGGCUAACUACGUG